AUUGAACGCUGGCGGCAUGCUUUACACAUGCAAGUCGAACGGUAACAGGUCUUCGGAUGCUGACGAGUGGCGAACGGGUGAGUAAUGUAUCGGAACGUGCCCAUGUCGUGGGGGAUAACGUAGCGAAAGCUACGCUAAUACCGCAUACGCCCUGAGGGGGAAAGCGGGGGAUUCUUCGGAACCUCGCGCGAUUGGAGCGGCCGAUGUCGGAUUAGCUAGUAGGUGAGGUAAAGGCUCACCUAGGCGACGAUCCGUAGCGGGUCUGAGAGGAUGAUCCGCCACACUGGGACUGAGACACGGCCCAGACUCCUACGGGAGGCAGCAGUGGGGAAUAUUGGACAAUGGGGGAAACCCUGAUCCAGCUACGCCGCGUGCGGGACGAAGGCCUCGGUUGUAACCG
rnacentral:rRNA from 1 species